rnacentral:rRNA from 1 species
AUGAAGGCACCAUCGCUUCUUGUUCAGUGUUUCCCUGGCUUGCUUCCAAGCAAGGCCACUAGUUGUGUGCCGAUUAUAUCAGAGAGGGAUCUGCAUCUACCAUCACCAGCUGUUGAACUAAUCCCUUCAAAGAGUGCUCAUCCUUACAAAUAUGCUGGAGAGAAGGUCGAUGUCCAAGGUCUUGAUGUUUUCAAGGGGAAGGUCAGUGUAGCAGAUAUGAUAGCCUUUUCCCCUUCUGAAGUAGCAUCAUCAAAGCAUGAUGGUAGUCUCAAAUAUUGGGAGAGUUCCAUCACUAUUGUGAAUAUUAUUAAGAAUGAGAUCCGUGAUGGGCAGCUGAGCUUCAGGGGCAAGCGAGUUCUAGAGCUUGGAUGUGGAUCUGGCCUUGCUGGGAUUUUUGCCUGCUUGAAGGGUGCAUCUAUAGUUCACUUCCAGGACACAAAUGCAGAAACCAUAAGAUGCAGAACAAUGCCCAAUGUGCUUGCGAAUCUUGAGCAGGCUCGGGACAGGCAGAACAGACCAUCAGAGAGCCCGGUUACACCAUCCAGACAGUUGUUAGCUCCCGUUGUCCAUUUCUAUGCCGGGGAGUGGGAUGAGCUCCCCACAAUUCUCUCAGUUGUGCAUCCACCUGCACAACCAACAAACCUUAGCUUCUCUGAGGAUGAUUUUAUGGAUGGCUGCAGUAGCCAUGACGGAAGCAGUAUAGUUGGUCAGGACCCCAGGCGAUCGAGGAAGCUUUCUGGCAGCCGUGCAUGGGAGAGGGCCAGCGAGACCGACCCAGCAGAUGGAGGGUACGAUGUAAUUUUGAUUUCUGAGAUCCCUAAUGCGGUGAACUCUCUAAGGAAGCUCUAUGCCCUUAUCACUAAGUGCCUACGCCCUCCUUAUGGAGUCUUGUAUGUGGCUUCAAAGAAGAACAUGGUUGGUUCAAGCGGGGGCGCAAGGCAGCUUAAAAGUUUGAUGGAGGAGGAAGGUGUCCUUGGUGGUCACUUCUUGACUGAGAUAUCUGACCGGGAGAUAUGGAAGUUCUUUUUCAAGUAA